GCUAUCCUACGGGGCGCAGCAGUAGGGAAUCUUCCACAAUGGACGAAAGUCUGAUGGAGCAACGCCGCGUGAGUGAAGAAGGGUUUCGGCUCGUAAAGCUCUGUUGGUAGUGAAGAAAGAUAGAGGUAGUAACUGGCCUUUAUUUGACGGUAAUUACUUAGAAAGUCACGGCUAACUACGUGCCAGCAGCCGCGGUAAUACGGAGGUGGCAAGCGUUGUCCGGGUUUAUUGGGCGUAAAGCGAGUGCAUGCGGUGUAAAUA
rnacentral:rRNA from 1 species